rnacentral:rRNA from 1 species
GACGAACGCUGGCGGCGUGGAUUAGGCAUGCAAGUCGAACGGUAUCAUCCUUUCGGGGGUGAGAGAGUGGCGAACUGGUGAGUAACACGUAGGUUAUCUACCCUCAAGACGGGGACAACCCAGGGAAACUUGGGCUAAUACCGGAUGUGAGCAACUUUUAGUUGUUUGAAAGGUGGCGUAAGCUGUCGCUUGGGGAUGAGCCUGCGUCCUAUUAGUUAGUUGGUGAGGUAACGGCUCACCUAGGCAAUGAUAGGUAGGCGGCCUUAACGGGUGGUCGCCCACACUGGGGAUUGAGAUACGGCCCAGACUCCUACGGGAGGCAGCAGUCGAGAAUAGUCUACAAUGGUCGGAAGACUGAUAGUGCGACGCCGCGUGAACGAUGAAUCCCUUCGGGGUGUAAAGUUCUUUUAUAUGUGAGCAGUGCUUCUUAUAUUAACAGUAUGGGGAGAGAGAUAUUAGCAUAUGAAUAAGCAACGGCUAACUCCGUGCCAGCAGCCGCGGU